rnacentral:tRNA from 1 species
GCUCACGUGGCUCAGAGGUAGAGCACUCCCUUGGUAAGGGAGAGGUCACGGGUUCGAUUCCCGUCGUGAGCUCCA